rnacentral:rRNA from 1 species
UACGUAGGAUGCGAGCGUUAUCCGGAUUUAUUGGGUUUAAAGGGUGCGCAGGCGGAAUGUCAAGUCAGCGGUAAAAUUUCGGGGCUCAACCCCGUCGUGCCGUUGAAACUGGCGUUCUUGAGUGAGCGAGAAGUAUGCGGAAUGCGUGGUGUAGCGGUGAAAUGCGUAGAUAUCAGGAGGAAUACCGUUAGCGAAGGCGGCAAUCUGGCUGGAAACUGACGCUGAGGUGCGAAAGCGUGGGUAGCAAACAGG